GACCAGGCCUCUAGAACACGAACCUUUGGAAAACUAUUUCCAAACCAGUAAACCCUCUGAUGUAUAACUAAAUAUGCUUCUUCAUGGUGUAUACAGUUGGCAUUGUUUCCUGAAGAAUAUGACCUCUGCCUUUGUGAACUCGCGGCACUAUGGCCACUACUGGUGGUCUCAUUCCUGUAUGCCUUUCUGAGGCAUUGAAAGUCUACCAAACACUGAGCUUCAUCUCUCCGCAUGAUGGGUUCUGGAGAACACCCUUCACAUAAUCAUGACACUUCCACCCACCCAUCCAAGUAUUUAGAUUCCCAA